UGGGGAAUUUUGGACAAUGGGCGCAAGCCUGAUCCAGCCAUUCCACGUGAGUGAAGAAGGCCUUCGGGUUGUAAAGCUCUUUCGCAAGGGAAGAAACGAUACAGACGAAUAAUCUGUGUUAAUGACGGUACCUUGAUAAGAAGCACCGGCUAACUACGUGCCAGCAGCCGCGGUAAUACGUAGGGUGCAAGCGUUAAUCGGAAUUACUGGGCGUAAAGCGUGCGCAGGCGGUUAUACAAGACAGGCGUGAAAUCCCUGGGCUUAACCCAGGAACUGCGUCUAAUACUGGUUAGCUAGAGAUUGGUAGAGGAAAGUGGAAUUCCUAGUGUAGAGGUGAAAUUCGCAGAUAUUAGGAAGAACACCAGAGGCGAAGGCGACUUUCUGGGCCAAUACUGACGCUGAGGCGCGAAAGCGUGGGGAGCAAACAGG
rnacentral:rRNA from 1 species